rnacentral:rRNA from 1 species
UACGUAGGGGGCAAGCGUUGUCCGGAUUUAUUGGGCGUAAAGCGCGCGUAGGUGGCCCGGUAAGUCCGCUCUGAAAGUCACAGGCUCAACCUGUGAAAGCGGGUGGAUACUGCCGGGCUAGAGUCCGGAAGAGGCGAGUGGAAUUCCUGGUGUAGCGGUGGAAUGCGCAGAUAUCAGGAGGAACACCAACGGCGAAGGCAGCUCGCUGGGACGGUACUGACACUGAGGCGCGAAAGCGUGGGGAGCGAACAGG